rnacentral:rRNA from 1 species
AGAGUUCGAUCCUGGCUCAGAACGAACGCUGGCGGCGCGUCUUAAGCAUGCAAGUCGAGCGAAUGCGCACCCUCGGGUGCGCGGAAGCGGCGGACGGGUGAGUAACACGUGGGUGACUUGCCCCCCGGUGGGGAAUAGCGCAUGGAAACAUACGAUAAUACCGCAUGAGACGGCAGGGGUGGAGCCCUGCCGGGAAAGGUCCUACGGGACCGCCGGGGGAUAGGCCCGCGGCCCAUUAGCUAGUUGGCGGGGUAAUGGCCCACCAAGGCGACGAUGGGUAGCCGGACUGAGAGGUUGAACGGCCACAUUGGGAUUGAGAACGGCCCAGACUCCUACGGGAGGCAGCAGCUAAGAAUCUUCCACAAUGGACGGAAGUCUGAUGGAGCGACGCCGCGUGGACGAAGGAGGCCGAAAGGUUGUAAAGUCCUUUUCGGAUGGAGGAAU